CCUACGGGAGGCAACAGUGAGGAAUAUUGGUCAAUGGGCGGGAGCCUGAACCAGCCAAGCCGCGUGAGGGAUGACGGUACAGCGUAUCGUAAACCUCUUUUGUCAGGGAAUAAAGGCGGGGACUAGUCCCCGGAUGCGGGUACCUGAAGAAAAAGCAUCGGCUAACUCCGUGCCAGCAGCCGCGGUAAUACGGAGGAUGCGAGCGUUAUCCGGAUUUAUUGGGUUUAAAGGGUGCGCAGGGGGCCUGUUAAGUCAGCGGUAAAAGGCCGGGGCUCAACCCCGGCGAGCCGUUGAAACUGGCGGGCUGGAGUGGGAGAGAGGUACGCGGAAUGCGUGGUGUAGCGGUGAAAUGCUUAGAUAUCGCGCAGAACCCCGAUUGCGAAGGCAGCGUACCGGCUCCACACUGACGCUGAGGCACGAAAGUGUGGGUAUCGAACAGGAUUAGAUACCCGGGUAGUC
rnacentral:rRNA from 1 species